UCGAACGGUAACAGGAAGAAGCUUGCUUCUUUGCUGACGAGUGGCGGACGGGUGAGUAAUGUCUGGGAAACUGCCUGAUGGAGGGGGAUAACUACUGGAAACGGUAGCUAAUACCGCAUAACGUCGCAAGACCAAAGAGGGGGACCUUCGGGCCUCUUGCCAUCGGAUGUGCCCAGAUGGGAUUAGCUAGUAGGUGGGGUAACGGCUCACCUAGGCGACGAUCCCUAGCUGGUCUGAGAGGAUGACCAGCCACACUGGAACUGAGACACGGUCCAGACUCCUACGGGAGGCAGCAGUGGGGAAUAUUGCACAAUGGGCGCAAGCCUGAUGCAGCCAUGCCGCGUGUAUGAAGAAGGCCUUCGGGUUGUAAAGUACUUUCAGCGGGGAGGAAGGGAGUAAAGUUAAUACCUUUGCUCAUUGACGUUACCCGCAGAAGAAGCACCGGCUAACUCCGUGCCAGCAGCCGCGGUAAUACGGAGGGUGCAAGCGUUAAUCGGAAUUACUGGGCGUAAAGCGCACGCAGGCGGUUUGUUAAGUCAGAUGUGAAAUCCCCGGGCUCAACCUGGGAACUGCAUCUGAUACUGGCAAGCUUGAGUCUCGUAGAGGGGGGUAGAAUUCCAGGUGUAGCGGUGAAAUGCGUAGAGAUCUGGAGGAAUACCGGUGGCGAAGGCGG
rnacentral:rRNA from 1 species